CCUAAAGCAACAUACAAUAGGGAAAAAUUAUAUAUGAAGUUAUUGGUAGGGUUUGGCAUUUGGACACCAAAGAUUCACAUCACAUCUGGGAAAAAAAAAAAGCUGCUAUAAAUCUGUCAGGUAGGUAACAGGACUCUUCAGUUUUGCCUACAAAUGUUUUCAGCAGUAUCCACAAGCUUUUUAAGACAGUCUCCUUUUGCCUCAAAUCCCCCUUAGUUUUCAUUUAUGCCUCUGGGUGGCUUUCUGGUUUUUGGUAUUUAACUUUCCAUAAUUGCAAAGAUGGCAUUGACUCCAUGCUUUGAAAGCUCUCACACUCCCAAUCCUGCUUAUUCCAUAAACACAAGGAGACUGUUUAUAUUUAAAUGCUCUCAGUUUAUAAGGACCAUGAUGUAUACAAAGCUAAAUCACAGAUGCGCAUUGCUAAAUGAAAGGUUCUUGGACUGUUCCCAUGAGUUGCUACUGCCAGACAGGAGGCACUGUUGUCAUUCAAGGGUAAGGUUGGGCUUCUGAAGGCCUUUUUAACUUGCUAUAUCAAGAACUGCAGCUUUUUAAAUUUGCAGUUACCUAGCCUGAAUCAAAAUAGCAAUCAACAGAAACUUCACAAAUGUUAUUUCAAAAAUUUAUGAGUUACUAAGUGCCUUCUAACUUACACUCAUUUCCCUAGAAACUCACUGUUCUUCAGGAUCUGCAAAGCAACCUGCAAAAUUGGAUUAUUUGCAUUUCAAGAGCCCUUGAUUUUCUCCCCCAGCUUCCAUUUUCCUUUAAUAUUCCCAUUCCUCCCAGUGACCACUACAUACACUCGUUGUGCCACCAAACACAGCCAGCAGUGCUAUUGUGAGAGGCCAUCAGAAGGAGCGAUAGUUUCAGAACCAGGUACAGGGCUGUCAACUCCCGCAUUGUUCUCCAAGUCCUCCCUUCCUUCCUACUACCAUGUCUCAAUUUCCAGUGUGUGUGUGUUGAUGCAGAACAUACAAACUUGGGAAACUGCCUGCUGGGGCAUUGUUCAGAUAUGAUACGCUUUAUUUUCACUGCAGAAAUGCUUGGUUUCCUCAUGAUGUAUUCCGCUGGUUGAUGCAUUGUUCUACACGCUGCUGUAUUUUUCUCACUUUGACUCUAGGAAGCUCAGCUCUUCCUGUCCAGCUGGGCAAAGCAAAGUAAUAUCCUUCCACAAUUAAAUAUGCUUGCAACGACCUGCGGUGUGCUUGAGCAGGUCUCCUACUACAGACAGGGAUCCAUAUAACACAUCAGGCUGCAUGUUAACAAGACAUUGCUCUAAGAUGCAGAAGGAUUUUAUCAAGGCCAAAUUCUGAGCUUAGAACUGUAUUUUGCAGACUGUCCCUUGUGCAAGCACUGUAUCAUCCUCCUCCAGUAGGCAGGAAGAUAAGGAGAGAAUAGGAGAGAACGGAGAAUAGAAACAAAGAAUGAGGAAAGAAAAUAAUGCUUGCAGAGUAAGUUAGGAGGUAAAACGGCUAAUCCAGAGGUGGACCUGUUCUCCUUCAGGCUAACCACUGCAUCAGACUCCCUCAGAAUCCAAGUCACACAGACUCCUGGAGGCCCACAGGAUCGCUGCCACCUCUCUCUGUUGCACUAGCAGCACCUUUGUAUUUAACUCACAGUUUAACUGUAGCAGCGGCUGCCUUCACCAAUCCUAAUUGUUUCCCUCCACCCUGUAACUAUCAGCUGCCCCUGCGAUAACAUCCCACUCCACCUACUUACUCAGCCACCUGCCUAGGAUCUCAUUUCCUUGGAAGAUUUCCUGCUGGGCAGAAUCCCUGGCUCUGUAGCACCAUAAAACCACCACCAGAAACGUACCAUAAUCCCUGGAAGCUCCAGAUUUCUUAUCCAUUAUAACACCACACAGUGUGGAGGUGCCAUGGGUAUGACAAGGCUGCCAUACACCUGGAAGUCUUGACCAUGACUGUGAAACCCCACUGCAUGCCUCCCACUACCAGAUACCCACUGAACCUCUGAAAAAUCUUAGGCAAACACAUAAAAUCAUCAAACUCCAGCUACACUAAAUCUAAGCAAGGAAAACGAGUGUGUAUCCACAAAAAUCAGGACUUGGCAGACCUCUCACCAGUCCCGGAAGCUCUGUAUUGUAUGGAGCCAGUCUCUAGCAUCCUGCCUCUUCUCACUGUGCAUUUUCUGAGAUGUAAAGGAAGUCUACAAGUAACCCCACAACCGAUCUGUGCUGUUGGUACCCUCAAAUCUUCCCACCACUAUUUCUUUCCUCCAGUGAAUUGUGGAACUAUUACAUAUGCUCAGGCUGACCUGCACACGCACAGAAGCCAUUUGUUUAAAAGACUAUUUAUUUUUUAAUCUGCAGAAUAGCAACUAUUUCCUGCAGUCUUCUUUCUCUCUUUUCCACUCUCCACUGCUCGAAAUAAACGAUAAAUCUGGGAAGAGAGACUGGUGGCUUGCAUACUACUGCUUAAAAGUCCAUUAAAAAAGAAAAAAAAAAAUUAAAAAAAGCUAUAUCAGACUGCCAACAGUGGGUCCUGGUGAGCAACCCUAUGCCAUUAGGAGGCCAGGAGAUCUGCUGCUCUCCUGCAGCAGGCUCGUUCCACCUGUGUCUUCACCUUUUGGACCAGUAUUCUGUCAACACAAACAUUACAGCACGAGGAAUAUGUCUCCAUCUACCUCAAUCUCCUGCUGGUCCUGGUUAAAAUUCUUCUAUCUGGAGCGUGUGACUAGGUUCCCAGUAUACCUGAACGAAGUUCUGAUUGAUGGUCCAGAGCUACUCACUAUAGAGAUGUGCACACAGAUGUGUUUAUACAAGCAGGGGCUGCAAACAUCUCCAUCAGAAUGAGCCCUAACGGCCUGUGACACAGCAAGUAGGGAACAGCCAGCUUCUGUCACAAAAUCCUCUGUUAGCCAGGCUGGAUUUUUAAAAGAGAAAACAAAAUGCUUUGUUGGCUUUUGACACAGAAGAUCAUUACUUCAGCACUCAGGCAGCCAUUCUGCAUUAUUCAGCAGGUUGGGAGGACAGUGCCUGAUGCUGGCAGGGGCCUCCAUCAGAUCCAAAUCCAUCACAUGCUGUUGGUUCAUUGUUAGCUCGGCAGGAAGGGAGCGCAGUGAACUGAACUGCUGCAUUGUACUGAAGACACUGAAUUGAUUUUGCUCUGGCAUUACUGGUGACAUGCCAAACGGUGAAGUUCCAGCUCAGGUAUUUCCAAAGGUCAACUGAUUUCACUUUCAAGGGGCUGCUGUGGUCCAUGCAAGAGAAAGGGAGUAAAAGCAGAAGCCUGAAUAUAAAAACAUUUUGUACAGCUGCCUAUGGCUUUUUAUCCCGGGCUUACUUCUAAAUAUUGUAACUUAAAAUUCCUUUGUAAGAUGCCUUCAAAAACACUGCCAUGAAGUAUAUGGGAGAAGAAGAGGGACAGCAUUAAAAGCUUGAAGUUAAAGACUUAAAGACUCGCUAUGGCUUCCUAUUCCCUACCUCAACAGGGACAGUCUGGUCUGCAGUGUUUCAUACCACCCAAAUAAUGUUUAUCUUUUCUCUGUCUGUCCCUGGCAUUGUUCCUUCUUCAUGUUAACACAAUAUACCAAACUAACUUGCAACCUAAGCUUGCCUUGGCAAGAGGAAAUGUGUUUUGUGGCUAGUACAGACUUGGAAACCAGAAGGACAUGAGAGUUCUCAUGGUGGCUUUCAUUCAGACUUCCUGUUUGAGCAAGUGGAUCACUGGACUUUCACACGCUGCUUCUUCUUUAGUGCAAAGGAACCGAUAAUGCUUCUGUACUUCACAAGCAUGCUAUGAAGCUGAAUCAUGGUAAUGCGCACUUUUAAGCUUCAGCAGAAAGUACUACAGAAGUGCAAAGUAAAACAGCCAAGGCCAGAACCACCCUGCCCAAGAACACUGCAAAACCUGAAGUUCCUCACAUGCUCUCAGGCUGUUCCUCAUUAUGUUGGAAAAUAACCUAAGAACCAGCCAUAUAUAAGUGUUUUUCAUAUUAGAGUCGGUCUUCUUCUGUUUACUAUGCUGUACUGUAAGACUCUGCUGAAGAAGUUAAACUACACAGCCUUUAAACAAUUUCACAUCAAGAACUUAACAUCAAUUCAAGCCAAGAACAGUCUGGUUGGUUUGUGGUUGAGGGUUUUUCUUUCCCCCUUUAUAUUUUCUGCGGAAUUUCCAUGCACUUUGUUGUAAAUAAGUAGUCUCAGGAUUUCUGUAUAGUUCACAUGUGUUGAAAGCAAGUGUACACUAUCCAAGUAUCAUAGGAAACUUUCAGUCAUUUCCUAAUUGAAGGGUCAAUUAACAGAAGAACGAUUCUUUCAGUUAAUGGAAUCUUUUGGCUGACUUAGAUAAUUGGAACUGCUUUGUUAAGCUAUUAAGGUUUGUGAGUACUAACAAUCACUUGGGAAUAGGGAGGAGGCAACAUAGUUGAAAUGCUUUUGGACCAUUCAUUCUGUAACUGAACACCUGUUGGAUUUUUUUUUUUUUUUAAGUGACAUCUACAUACCAAAGAUGAAGUUAUCAGGCCGAAAGAGCUGACCAAAAGGACCAGAUCUCACACUAUCCAUGGUUCCCGGCUCCAAGUCCACUAAGACUGCUCUUGGUACAAAUUUCUGGGCUGCAAACCAAAAAAUAAAUAUAUGCUUAAUGUUAAAAAAAAUAAAACAUUUACAGCUCUUUA